AUGACAGUUGUCGUGGCCAGCAACGCAGAGAACCGCGCCAUUGUAUGUGGCCUGCUUGGGGAGCUGCGUGGGAUACGGCAGCCAGAUCGUGUCACCGGUCACAAGGUCCAAGACGAGCAGCUCAUUGCAGCACUUACAUUUCAGGAGGGCACGACCGUGGCGACAGUCCAAGACCGACAAAUAGUCGUGGUCAAUCUUGCCAACAGCGGAGCCCGCGAAGGUGUUGGUGAUGGAAACGAAGAAGGGAAACGAUGGCUGGUUGCUGAAGAAGCCGAGCACGGGAGGAGUCCCCCGGUGGAACUCGUGGAAGCGGCAAAGGAAGCGGGCGUCGUGGAUGAGGCUGCGCCAGUGCUUGCAGACAUGAGAAGCACGGAAAAGAUAGAUAGGCUCAGGCGGAAGGCGCAUGAGAAUCUCCACAAGGAGGUCAUCUGGGAGAAUCUGUAUAUGAGGCGGCGGACAUGGCGGACCAAGGUUGUACCUGAAAUAGCCAUUCCAAGGUGA
rnacentral:rRNA from 1 species